AUUUUUUAUAUGAAUCUCAGUAAAGCAGUUAUUAACAAACAAAAAGAUCUGAUAUGGUAGAAAAAACUAUUGUCAUUGCACAUUUCCACUUCCAUUUUCUCUAACUUAAUGAUAUUGUUAGAGAAUAUAUAGAGGUGAAGAUUGUGACUUUAAUUUUCUUUUUUCAUAGCACUGUUGCAAGAAUUCAAUUCCGUCUUCCUGAUGGUUCUUCCUUUACAAAUCAGUUCCCUUCUGAUGCUCCUCUAGAAGAGGCAAGGCAGUUUGCUGCACAGACUGUUGGCAACACUUACGGUAAUUUUUCGUUAGCAACCAUGUUUCCCAGGAGGGAAUUUACCAAAGAAGAUUAUAAAAAGAAGUUACUGGAUUUGGAACUUGCCCCAAGCGCUUCGGUGGUACUGUUGCCAGUAUGUAUAUACAGAUGCAUUUUUUUCUCUUCUUAUUGUUUUCUGUUUAUCAUACUCUUCAUUUCUUAUAAUUAGGGGAAAGGAAGUGCACAGAUAUACUGAAGGUAAUUAAAAUUCAAGUGAUCCAAUAAUUAGAUGAAUUUAUAAUUCCAUUAUCCUGUGCUUUAUUUGUAUUGCUGAUAUUACUUGUGAGACAUGAAACAGUUUAAUUUUUAACUUUUUUCUUCACAUAUUUUUGUGUAC
rnacentral:lncRNA from 10 species